UACGGAGGGUGCAAGCGUUGUUCGGAUUCACUGGGUGUAAAGGGCGCGUAGGCGGAUAAACAAGUCGGAUGUGAAAUCCCGGGGCUCAACCCCGGAACUGCAUCCGAAACUGUUUAUCUGGAGUAGUGGAGAGGAAAGCGGAACUCCUGGUGUAACGGUGAAAUGUGUAGAUAUCAGGAGGAACGCCGAUAGCGAAGGCAGCUUUCUGGACACUUACUGACGCUGAGGCGCGAAAGCGUGGGGAGCAAACAGG
rnacentral:rRNA from 1 species